CGGUAUUAUGACCGUGCGAAGGUAGCAUAAUCAUUAGUCUUUUAAUUGGAGGCUGGAAUGAAUGGUUGGACGAGAAAUAAACUGUCUUUGUCUUAAAAAUUGAAUUUAACUUUUAAGUGAGAGGGCUUAAAUGGAUUAAAGGGACGAUAAGACCCUGUAAAGUUUAUACAUUAAAUUAAUUAAAAAUAAUUAAGGAGAUUAAAAUUUAUUAUUGGGGAGGUGUUUAGUUGGGGCGACUAGGAUAUAAUUUAAUUAUAACUGUCUUAGAUUAAGGUCAAAGAUAUUUGAGUUUAUGAUCCUUUUUUAGGAUUCAAGAACAAGUUACUUCAGGGAUAACAGCGUAAUUUUUUUUGAGAGUUCUUAUCGACAAAAGAGUUUGCGACCUCGAUGUUGAAUUAAAAGUUUCUCUGAAGUGCAGCAAUUUCAGGAGAAGG
rnacentral:rRNA from 1 species